rnacentral:rRNA from 1 species
GGGGAAUAUUGCGCAAUGGGCGCAAGCCUGAUGCAGCCAUGCCGCGUGUAUGAAGAAGGCCUUCGGGUUGUAAAGUACUUUCAGCGGGGAGGAAGGCGACGGGGUUAAUAACCCUGUCGAUUGACGUUACCCGCAGAAGAAGCACCGGCUAACUCCGUGCCAGCAGCCGCGGUAAUACGGAGGGUGCAAGCGUUAAUCGGAAUUACUGGGCGUAAAGCGCACGCAGGCGGUCUGUUAAGUCAGAUGUGAAAUCCCCGGGCUUAACCUGGGAACUGCAUUUGAAACUGGCAGGCUUGAGUCUUGUAGAGGGGGGUAGAAUUCCAGGUGUAGCGGUGAAAUGCGUAGAGAUCUGGAGGAAUACCGGUGGCGAAGGCGGCCCCCUGGACAAAGACUGACGCUCAGGUGCGAAAGCGUGGGGAGCAAAC